AUUGAACGCUGGCGGCAGGCCUAACACAUGCAAGUCGAAUGGUAACAGGAAACAGCUUGCUGUUUCGCUGACGAGUGGCGGACGGGUGAGUAAUGUCUGGGAAACUGCCUGAUGGAGGGGGAUAACUACUGGAAACGGUAGCUAAUACCGCAUAACGUCGCAAGCCCAAAGAGGGGGACCUUCGGGCCUCUUGCCAUCAGAUGUGCCCAGAUGGGAUUAGCUAGUAGGUGGGGUAACGGCUCACCUAGGCGACGAUCCCUAGCUGGUCUGAGAGGAUGACCAGCCACACUGGAACUGAGACACGGUCCAGACUCCUACGGGAGGCAGCAGUGGGGAAUAUUGCACAAUGGGCGCAAGCCUGAUGCAGCCAUGCCGCGUGUAUGAAGAAGGCCUUCGGGUUGUAAAGUACUGUCAGCGGGGAGGAAGGGAGUAAAGUUAAUACCUUUGCUCAUUGACGUUACCCGCAGAAGAAGCACCGGCUAACUCCGUG
rnacentral:rRNA from 1 species